GCCGGAGGAGGCAAGCGUUAUCCGGAAUUAUUGGGCGUAAAGGGUACGUAGGCGGCUGGUCAAGUCUGGGGUCAAAGGCCACAGCUCAACUGUGGGAAGGCCCUGGAAACUGACCGGCUAGAGUGAGGUAGGGGUUGCGGGAAUUCCCGGUGUAGCGGUGAAAUGCGUAGAGAUCGGGAAGAACACCUGAGGCGGAAGCGCGCAACUGGGCCUCAACUGACGCUGAGGUACGAAAGCUAUGGAGAGAAUGGG
rnacentral:rRNA from 1 species